CGCGCCUCCGCCGCCGCCGCUUCCCCUCCUUCACGGAUCACCAGCCGCCGCUUCUUGGCGUCACAGUCCCCGGUGGCCCCCUCCGAGAUCUGCCCGGACGAGAACCUGAAGCGGCUCAUCGGCAACGAGAUCGACCGCGUCUUCCUGCCGGCGGAGGCCUCCUCGAAGCUCAUUGAACUACCAGAAGACUUCCCCUUUGAGAUAAUUGAUAACCCUGGUGAUCAAGCCAUAGUUCUCAAAAGAGAGCUUGCAGGAGAGAGAGUCAAAGCAAUUAUCUACACAAAUUUUGAUACUGAUGAAGAUGUGAACAAUGAUGACUCUCAUGCUGAGAAUCAUAUUGACUCAUUUAAGCCUGUGAUUCAGAUGGUUGUCACUUUUGAAAGACCAGAAGGUCUAGUCCUGGAAUUUGUGUGCAACUUUAAAGAUAAGGAACUGGCAAUUGAAAAUAUGAGGAUGCUGAAUCGCAGCAGCGUGGAUGCUAAGUAUGCGUACGAGGGGCCACAGUUCUCUGUUCUGAAGGAGAGCAUCCGGAAGUCCCUGCAUGGGUAUCUUGAGGUGAGGGGGAUCAAGGACUCACUGCAUGACUGGCUGCACGAGUACAUGAUGUGCAAGGAUGAGAGGGAGUACGUGGUUUGGUUGAAGAAGAUGAGAGACUUCCUCCAGAAAUGA
rnacentral:rRNA from 1 species